rnacentral:rRNA from 1 species
UUAAGCGACUAAGCGUACACGGUGGAUGCCCUGGCAGUCAGAGGCGAUGAAGGACGUGCUAAUCUGCGAUAAGCGUCGGUAAGGUGAUAUGAACCGUUAUAACCGGCGAUUUCCGAAUGGGGAAACCCAGUGUGUUUCGACACACUAUCAUUAACUGAAUCCAUAGGUUAAUGAGGCGAACCGGGGGAACUGAAACAUCUAAGUACCCCGAGGAAAAGAAAUCAACCGAGAUUCCCCCAGUAGCGGCGAGCGAACGGGGAGCAGCCCAGAGCCUGAAUCAGUGUGUGUGUUAGUGGAAGCGUCUGGAAAGGCGCGCGAUACAGGGUGACAGCCCCGUACACAAAAAUGCACAUGCUGUGAGCUCGAUGAGUAGGGCGGGACACGUGGUAUCCUGUCUGAAUAUGGGGGGACCAUCCUCCAAGGCUAAAUACUCCUGACUGACCGAUAGUGAACCAGUACCGUGAGGGAAAGGCGAAAAGAACCCCGGCGAGGGGAGUGAAAAAGAACCUGAAACCGUGUACGUACAAGCAGUGGGAGCCUCUUUUAUGGGGUGACUGCGUACCUUUUGUAUAAUGGGUCAGCGACUUAUAUUCUGUAGCAAGGUUAACCGAAUAGGGGAGCCGAAGGGAAACCGAGUCUUAACUGGGCGUUAAGUUGCAGGGUAUAGACCCGAAACCCGGUGAUCUAGCCAUGGGCAGGUUGAAGGUUGGGUAACACUAACUGGAGGACCGAACCGACUAAUGUUGAAAAAUUAGCGGAUGACUUGUGGCUGGGGGUGAAAGGCCAAUCAAACCGGGAGAUAGCUGGUUCUCCCCGAAAGCUAUUUAGGUAGCGCCUCGUGAAUUCAUCUCCGGGGGUAGAGCACUGUUUCGGCAAGGGGGUCAUCCCGACUUACCAACCCGAUGCAAACUGCGAAUACCGGAGAAUGUUAUCACGGGAGACACACGGCGGGUGCUAACGUCCGUCGUGAAGAGGGAAACAACCCAGACCGCCAGCUAAGGUCCCAAAGUCAUGGUUAAGUGGGAAACGAUGUGGGAAGGCCCAGACAGCCAGGAUGUUGGCUUAGAAGCAGCCAUCAUUUAAAGAAAGCGUAAUAGCUCACUGGUCGAGUCGGCCUGCGCGGAAGAUGUAACGGGGCUAAACCAUGCACCGAAGCUGCGGCAGCGACGCUUAUGCGUUGUUGGGUAGGGGAGCGUUCUGUAAGCCUGUGAAGGUGUGCUGUGAGGCAUGCUGGAGGUAUCAGAAGUGCGAAUGCUGACAUAAGUAACGAUAAAGCGGGUGAAAAGCCCGCUCGCCGGAAGACCAAGGGUUCCUGUCCAACGUUAAUCGGGGCAGGGUGAGUCGACCCCUAAGGCGAGGCCGAAAGGCGUAGUCGAUGGGAAACAGGUUAAUAUUCCUGUACUUGGUGUUACUGCGAAGGGGGGACGGAGAAGGCUAUGUUGGCCGGGCGACGGUUGUCCCGGUUUAAGCGUGUAGGCUGGUUUUCCAGGCAAAUCCGGAAAAUCAAGGCUGAGGCGUGAUGACGAGGCACUACGGUGCUGAAGCAACAAAUGCCCUGCUUCCAGGAAAAGCCUCUAAGCAUCAGGUAACAUCAAAUCGUACCCCAAACCGACACAGGUGGUCAGGUAGAGAAUACCAAGGCGCUUGAGAGAACUCGGGUGAAGGAACUAGGCAAAAUGGUGCCGUAACUUCGGGAGAAGGCACGCUGAUAUGUAGGUGAAGCGACUUGCUCGUGGAGCUGAAAUCAGUCGAAGAUACCAGCUGGCUGCAACUGUUUAUUAAAAACACAGCACUGUGCAAACACGAAAGUGGACGUAUACGGUGUGACGCCUGCCCGGUGCCGGAAGGUUAAUUGAUGGGGUCAGCGCAAGCGAAGCUCUUGAUCGAAGCCCCGGUAAACGGCGGCCGUAACUAUAACGGUCCUAAGGUAGCGAAAUUCCUUGUCGGGUAAGUUCCGACCUGCACGAAUGGCGUAAUGAUGGCCAGGCUGUCUCCACCCGAGACUCAGUGAAAUUGAACUCGCUGUGAAGAUGCAGUGUACCCGCGGCAAGACGGAAAGACCCCGUGAACCUUUACUAUAGCUUGACACUGAACAUUGAGCCUUGAUGUGUAGGAUAGGUGGGAGGCUUUGAAGUGUGGACGCCAGUCUGCAUGGAGCCGACCUUGAAAUACCACCCUUUAAUGUUUGAUGUUCUAACGUUGACCCGUAAUCCGGGUUGCGGACAGUGUCUGGUGGGUAGUUUGACUGGGGCGGUCUCCUCCUAAAGAGUAACGGAGGAGCACGAAGGUUGGCUAAUCCUGGUCGGACAUCAGGAGGUUAGUGCAAUGGCAUAAGCCAGCUUGACUGCGAGCGUGACGGCGCGAGCAGGUGCGAAAGCAGGUCAUAGUGAUCCGGUGGUUCUGAAUGGAAGGGCCAUCGCUCAACGGAUAAAAGGUACUCCGGGGAUAACAGGCUGAUACCGCCCAAGAGUUCAUAUCGACGGCGGUGUUUGGCACCUCGAUGUCGGCUCAUCACAUCCUGGGGCUGAAGUAGGUCCCAAGGGUAUGGCUGUUCGCCAUUUAAAGUGGUACGCGAGCUGGGUUUAGAACGUCGUGAGACAGUUCGGUCCCUAUCUGCCGUGGGCGCUGGAGAACUGAGGGGGGCUGCUCCUAGUACGAGAGGACCGGAGUGGACGCAUCACUGGUGUUCGGGUUGUCAUGCCAAUGGCACUGCCCGGUAGCUAAAUGCGGAAGAGAUAAGUGCUGAAAGCAUCUAAGCACGAAACUUGCCCCGAGAUGAGUUCUCCCUGAC